GACGAACGCUGGCGGCGUGCUUAACACAUGCAAGUCGAACGAAGUGGCGAACGGGUGAGUAACGCGUAAUCACUCUGCCAUUCAGAGGGGGACAACAGUUGGAACCGACUGCUAAUACCGAAUACUGAAGGAGAAGAUUGCGUCUGAUUAGCUAGUUGGAGGGGUAACGGCCUACCAAGGCGAUGAUCAGUAGCCGGUCUAAGAGGACGAACGGCCACAUUGCGACUGAGACACGGCCCAGACUCCUACGGCAGGCAGCAGUAGGGAAUCUUCCGCAAUGGACGAAAGUCUGACGGAGCAACGCCGCGUGAGUGAUGACGGCCUCCGGGUUGUACAGCUCUGUUAAUCGGGACGCGGUACCGGAAUAGAAAGCCACGGCUAACUACGUGCCAGCAGCCGCGGUAAUAC
rnacentral:rRNA from 1 species